UACGUAGGGUGCGAGCGUUGUCCGGAAUUAUUGGGCGUAAAGGGCUCGUAGGCGGUUUGUCGCGUCGGGAGUGAAAACUCAGGGCUUAACCCUGAGCCUGCUUCCGAUACGGGCAGGCUAGAGGUAUGCAGGGGAGAACGGAAUUCCUGGUGUGGCGGUGAAAUGCGCAGAUAUCAGGAGGAACACCGGUGGCGAAGGCGGUUCUCUGGGCAUUACCUGACGCUGAGGAGCGAAAGUGUGGGGAGCGAACAGG
rnacentral:rRNA from 1 species